rfam:Canis lupus familiaris chromosome 21, whole genome shotgun sequence.
GUGCUCAAUUUGGCAGCACAUAUACUAAAAUUGGAGUGACACAGAGAUUAGCACAGCCCCUGUGCGAGGUUGACAUGCAAACUCCUGACAUGCUCCAUAUUUUC